UUAAAUAUUCUUGUUGAGAACAGUUGGAGACUUUGAACUGGGUGCCUAGUUCUGUUUUCUGGGAGACAGCAUGAAUUCUAUUUUGCAGACAUCAACAAGAGCUUGUUCAGAAGUUUCCUGUGGUUCUGGGCCCAAGGUGUGACAUGCAUUUCCUGCUGAUCGCUUCUCUUAAGAAGCAUGGGCUUGGCUGUUCCUAUUGAGGAAAAAUCUUAAUAAAACUUCCCAUUUUAAGC
rnacentral:lncRNA from 1 species